rnacentral:rRNA from 1 species
CCCUACGGGAGGCAGCAGUGGGGAAUAUUGCACAAUGGGCGAAAGCCUGAUGCAGCGACGCCGCGUGAAGGAUGAAGUAUUUCGGUAUGUAAACUUCUAUCAGCAGGGAAGAAAAUGACGGUACCUGACUAAGAAGCCCCGGCUAACUACGUGCCAGCAGCCGCGGUAAUACGUAGGGGGCAAGCGUUAUCCGGAUUUACUGGGUGUAAAGGGAGCGUAGACGGCGAUGCAAGCCAGAUGUGAAAGCCCGGGGCGCAACCCCGGGA